rnacentral:rRNA from 1 species
CCCUACGGGGGGCAGCAGUGGGGAAUAUUGCACAAUGGGGGAAACCCUGAUGCAGCAACGCCGCGUGAAGGAAGACGGUUUUCGGAUUGUAAACUUCUGUUCUUAGUGAAGAAGAAUGACGGUAGCUAAGGAGCAAGCCACGGCUAACUACGUGCCAGCAGCCGCGGUAAUACGUAGGUGGCAAGCGUUGUCCGGAAUUACUGGGUGUAAAGGGUGCGUAGGCGGAUUUUUAAGUCAGCGGUAAAAUGUCCGGGCUCAACCCGGGCCGGCCGUUGAAACUGGGGAUCUUGAGUGGGCGAGAAGUA